rnacentral:rRNA from 1 species
CCUACGGGUGGCAGCAGUAGGGAAUUUUGCGCAAUGGGCGAAAGCCUGACGCAGCAACGCCGCGUGAUUGAUUAAGCCCUUCGGGGUGUAAAGAUCUGUCAGUGGGGACGAAACUUGACGGUACCCACAGAGGAAGCACCGGCUAACUCCGUGCCAGCAGCCGCGGUAAUACGGAGGGUGCAAGCGUUGUCCGGAAUCAUUGGGUUUAAAGGGUGCGUAGGCGGUCCGUUAAGUCAGCGGUAAAAUUGCGGGGCUCAACCCCGUCGAGCCGUUGAAACUGGCAGACUUGAGUUGGCGAGAAGUACGCGGAAUGAGCGGUGUAGCGGGGAAAUGCAUAGAUAGCGCGCAGAACUCCGAUUGCGAAGGCAGCGUACCGGCGCCAGACUGACGCUGAGGCACGAAAGCGUGGGGAUCGAACAGGAUUAGAUACCCCUGUAGUC